rnacentral:rRNA from 1 species
UCCUUAGUACGAGAGGACCGGGAUGGACAUACCUCUGGUGUACCAGUUGUCGUGCCAACGGCAUAGCUGGGUAGCUAUGUAUGGACGGGAUAAGUGCUGAAAGCAUCUAAGCAUGAAGCCCCCCUCAAGAUGAGAUUUCCCAACUUCGGUUAUAAGAUCCCUCAAAGAUGAUGAGGUUAAUAGGUUCGAGGUGGAAGCGUAGCGAUACGUGGAGCUGACGAAUACUAAUCGAUCGAAGACUUAAUCAAUUU